rnacentral:rRNA from 1 species
UACGGAGGGUGCAAGCGUUAUCCGGAUUCACUGGGUUUAAAGGGUGCGUAGGUGGGUUGGUAAGUCAGUGGUGAAAUCUCCGAGCUUAACUUGGAAACUGCCAUUGAUACUAUCAGUCUUGAAUACCGUGGAGAUGAGCGGAAUAUGUCAUGUAGCGGUGAAAUGCUUAGAUAUGACAUAGAACACCAAUUGCGAAGACAGCUCGUUACACGAAUAUUGACACUCAGGCACGAAAGCGUGGGGAUCAAACAGG